rnacentral:lncRNA from 1 species
CCCCAAACAGCCUGCCUGCUAGAAGUCACGCUCUUCAACACCCUCUGCUUCCAAACACGAACCACAUAACACCCACAACUUAACGAAGCCAGAGUGCUGGGAAAAAAAUAAUAAGUGGCAAAAGACAAAUACUCCACAAGUGAUCACUUCAGUCAUCCAUUCCCCAAAAAAAGACCCUCCCAUCAUGCUCUGCCGAACAACAGAAAGAUCAUUAAAGAUCAUCACUGGCAGCUUUGUGCUUCAUCUACCUUCUGGUGUCGACCUGAUAAUGUCAAAGAAAACCAAGUCCUUUUCCAAAAAGAUCAACUCAAUUCUAACAGCAAAAGUUACUUUUAUUUAUCUAAAUCAUUCAUUCAUUCAUCCAUCCAUCCAUCCAUCCAUCCAUCCAUCCAUCCAUCCAACCCAACCAUCCAUCCAUCCAUCCAUCCAUCCAACCAACAGUAACAUCUGUGUGCCAGAGAGGAUGUAAGGUGGCUUACAAAGAUGGCUUCACUAUAACAUCACAAAUCUACUUGUAAAUGCAGGCAAGGGAACAACUGCAAAGGUGUGUGUGACAUUCGCUCGCUGAGUUGACAUUUACCUCCACUGACAACGGCUUCCAUUGAAGGGGGAUAAAAGAGCAGCUCUUUAGAUGACGGUGUAACAGUGAUUUUCUCUCCAGACCUAAAAUAAUUAAUAUACUUCAGUUUGGCGGGUCCUGUCCCCACAAAACAGAGGACACUGUAGGGAAACGCACAAGAGAGCUUACCGCGCCCAGUAAGAGAAAUCAUACGAGAAGGGGCCUUGUAACUCAUCUACCAUCUCCUGCACGGGAGGCUUGGUCAUUCUUUCUUCGCCUUCCUCAUUGCCGUUUUUCUCCCUCUCCUGCCUGCGGGCCUCGAUCUCAGCCAGCUGCUGCUCCCUCCGCAGCUCCUGCACAGACUUCAGAGGGCCUAAGACCAAGGCGGGUUCACUGUCGAUGGAAGACCUAGAAGAAAGACGGCCCCUAGGACAUAGUUGCGUAUCCUUGUGGUCAGUGGGAAUUUGACCUUUCUACGAGUAUGGACUUGCGAGUUACAAACUGGACAUCUUAUCAUGACACCACAGUGGCGGAGUCUUCUGUUUUAAAUAAACUAGUAGUUUCACAAAAAAUAACAACUGAGCUUCGCAGUGAUGGUGGCAGUAUCUGGUAGAUCUGGGCUGGAAUGAAAUACGGUUGAUUUUAUGGCGACUGGAUAUAAGCUUGUAGCUUCCAUGUAGGACAUGGAGUUUUCUCCACACCACCAUCCUCUGUUCUCCAUUCUACCUUCGCUGAGAACUGCUCUGAUAGAGAACUAGGCACCAAGGAUACAGCAUCAACAAAACAGACCACACUUCCUACCCCUGUGGAAUCCACGUUUCAAUGGGAAGGGGCUGAAAAUAAAGAGAAAAAUAAUACCAGAGGAAAAGUGCAAUAAAGAAAAAUAAAGCAGUGUGGGAAGACGGAGAGCCCGGAGCACUGUUUUACAUUAAAGGGACAGUCAAGGCCUUUCUGAUAAGGUGACGUUGAGCAAAGGUCUGAAGGAAGGGAGAGAAUGCGCCACGCAGCUCUCUGGGUAAACAGUAGCUUGGGAAAAGCGAUGCCAAGUGCAAAGUCCUUGGAGAGAAAGCUCACUCAGAUGUUCAAGCAAUGGCAACACCAGUCCAGCCUGGGGCACAGGGGCCCACGGAAGAGUCAUAUCCAACAGAGAGGUCCAAGGGGCAGCAGAUGUCAGACUGAGGCUUCACAGGCUUGGUGCCGACCUGGAGCCACUGGAGUUUUCAGUCGAGGAAUGGUAUGAUAAAAGAAAUCGUUCGCUCCUUCAUGGAAAAUACACAAAGCAAUGGCGGAAACAGGAAGGCCAGCUGGGAAGCUGCUGCAGUGACCCCAGAGGGGGGUCAGACCAGGGCUGAGGGCCAAGUGGUAAAAAGGGACUAGAUGACGGGUGUAUUUUGAUUGUAAAGCCAAGGCUUUGUUGGGGAAUUGGCUGGGCCUAGGGUUCAAGGGAAAUAAGAAUCAAGAAACAAGGAGAAAGCGGGAGCUGCCAUAUCUGAAUCAGAAAAGACCACAGAGGGGCUCAUGGAGGGCAACUGUCAGCAGUCGGGUUUUGGGUCUGCUGAGUACAAGAUCCCCAGGGGGAAUCCGAGUGGCUCUGUCUAGCUGGAAGAUGCAUUCCAUACAACCUCCGGCACAAGCAAGCAACACAAACACCCUUGUGAAGUUACAAAAAUGAAUGUAAUCAAGCUGAAAGGAGGUAAUAUGCAGUUACUACUGGUAAGAAGGUAGAUUGCUAGUCCUAUCAGUAAUUCAUACUUUCCAAGCAGGGAGACAGUAAAUGAUAGUAAAAGACAGCAACAGACCUUCGGCAAAUCCACCCCCAGCUAAAAACCUGGCUCCCCAUCACCAGAAACCAGGGCCAGCCCUGACAUUUCUCCCGCCCUAACCCAGUGGUCACUUUAGUGCCAUGUCUCAUCAACUCAGUCCCUCAACGACUCUCCGACCAGUCCGUCGCUCUCCAUCUCCGCAGCCACUAGUCUGGGGCCCCCAUUGCCUCCCCCUGCCUCCACCACCUCCCACUCUCAGGCCUCUUCUGUCUGUUCUCCACUCGGCCAAUAGGGGGACCUUUCAGGAAGAAAAAUGUCAUUCCUCUAUGUAAAACAUGUCAAUUGCAUCAUGGGACAAAGACUAUGGACCUUAACAUGGCCUGGCCCCCCGCAGCCUACCUGUCCUGCAUGCCCCCAAGGUCAAGCUCAAAGCACUCAGAACAGUUGUCAUUUACGGUUCUGCAUGUGAGUAUCUGACCACUGUUCCCCCCAUGAGACUGUCAAUCCCAUAAGUGUAGGGGCUGUGGCCUCAUAAGCCCAGUGCCUAAACACUGAAGACUCUCAGUUUUUCAGUCAUCAUGUACUCUGCAGGGAUGACGGAUGGAUAAACAGAUGGUGGACAGAAAGAUGGAAACAUAGCUGGAAAGGUGACUUCAACCAGGGGCAGGAGGGAGACAGGGACUGCAAUGCCCAUUCUACUUGACAGAGACGGUCAUGUUGCCAAAACUCGUUCAUUUCUCAAGAAAAUUGGGGCGUCACAGGUACCUCACCACACUGCAAAAAUUCCCUGAAAGGUGACAUUCACAUGAACGUGACCUUCGGUGAGGGACUUGCCUUUCAAAUACUUCCUCUCUCACGACCCUUCUCUUAUACCAGGUGCCAUCUCUAUUUCCCAAGCCUUCAAGCAAAAGUCUAAAGAAAAAUAGGCAAUUUGAAUUUGCUAAAACACUUGAAAUACAAUGCACAAACCCCAGAGAUUUUUUUUUUCCUUAGCAAAGAUGAGAAGUACAAAGAGUUCAAACAGAAAUUGAAGACACUGAAACAAGCUGUCGCAACGCUCUUCCUCACCCACAGGUAAUUUCUGAAUCAGAAAAGGAAAGGAUCAAGGCUGCUGGGAAUUGACGGCAAUGUCCUAUAAGAGAGGGAAGGCCAUUUGUAUAUACAUCUAGAGAUAAGAAAUCAAAACUAAUUUCCAGAGAGCCUAUUAGAGACUCCCCAGGCCUCAUCCACACCCUCUCCCGCCACUCUCGGCCCACUGCAGAACGCUCAUCUUACUUGAUAGUCACAGUGACAUCCAUCAUUUUGUCGGUGGUGAUAGUUCCAAGGACAUGGUGGCGAAUGGCUGUCAAUGUCAAGAUACUAGGUGAAGACCUACAAAUCAAAGCAGAGGAAACGCUAGAACCUACUCAUUCUCAGAAGAUCAUCAGCAAUACCCUUUUUGGGCAUCCUUCUUCACCCUAAAUAUACUACAGAAAAUUGCUCUUAGUCUGGGGUAAAAUAACUCUGGAGAUCCAGAGAAGUAUUUUAAAGAGUAAACUAAUUCUCCACUCCACAACUUUAUGCUUCCAAUUCCCAGUGAAACCCACACACUUCUGUAAAAAUACAAAAAUGGCAGACUUGAACUUGACAGACGCCCAUCGGUGAGGGCUGGGAGAUUUGACAAAGCUUCUAUUUAAGGCACUUCAAAAACACAGCCCUCUAUCCUGGGGUUACAGAAUUCUUGGGAAAGGGAUCCUGUCUCCGGUUCCUCAGUAACUAAUCCAAGUGUCUUAAAAUCCUUAUCUAGAAAUGCUGUUGAAGGCCUAACCUUGCCUCUUUCAGAAAAAAAAACAGAAAAACUCCUUUUGUUCUCUGAAGUAAAUGAAGAAUCCUCCACGGAAUGUAUACAAACACCACAAAGCAUUCAAUUCCCAGGCUUACGUGUCAUAGGUGUAGAACGCUUGCUCAAACCGGUGGCAGGAGCGAGGGGUCACUUUGUACACACCUACAGACAGGAAAUCAAAAGUAAUUUUCAGAGAAUGGCAUCUAUUACACCGAGCAAUUCCGACAUCUGAAAUCGAGUGGCAGCUCUUUGCAUGUGAAAACUCAAACGUAUCGCAGAUCUGCAAUAAUGGGAUCAGAAAUACUGGGCAGGCAUCGUUUUCACUGCCUAUGAAGGCGUCUUACCAAUAACCCGAUCCAUGCAAUGGCGCGAUCACAGGCGCAUGAUUUUCAUUUUCCAUAAGGUAACAACUCACAGUAGUUAAAUCUGCACAGACCAGGUGAACGGACCCAUGCACGAGAAGGAACAGAAAGUACGUUUCUACUGCAAAUUGGACUGAGGAUAAUUUCCUACUUAAAAGAUUCUAUUAAGGAUCCAAGAGAUAACCACAGCCUCAAUUUCUUCCUAUAAAUAUUCCUAAAAAGGAGGUAAGGAGUAAGGGAAGCCCCAGAAAAGUGUGAGUCUGUGUGGGAGGACACUCCGGCUAGGGGUACAUUUCAUCACUUGCCAGAGGAACACAGUCAAUUUCAGGAAGAUACAAGGAAUAACAAUGUAUUUCCCCCAAAUCAUCAUUAACCAAUAUUUUGGCCACACUUCCUACAAAAACCUGAAAUUAGCUAAAACCACCCUGCUGUUUUCAUUGCACUCAACAAGCCCCAGAGUAGUUACCAUCAAAAAAAAAAAAAAAAUCAGGUUUCUCUGUUUGUUUUGUUUGGUCUUUCAUUCAACAAAUAUCGACAGAGCACCUCUUCCUGGCCAGGUAUUAUGCUAGGUACUGGUACACAGUGGGGAAUGACAGAGCAGUGGUCCCUGUCUUCAUGGAGUUUACCAUCCACAGAGAGGGGGAGCAUUUGACAGCCACAAACAUAUCAAUUGUGGCACAUGCAAGAAGGGGAUAGAAGUGAGUGCUGAUAGCAAGAGUGUAGGAGGCAGGCCUAAGUGGCCCUGGAGGCCAUCCUUCCCCAGGGAAGCAAUACUGAACUGAUGGGUAAGAAGGCCCCAGCUAGGAGGGGCAGGAGGACAUGUCCACAGAGAACAGCAUCUGCCUCACAGGCUGGCUCAUUGUUUCCUCAACAGGCAUCCUUCCUGCCUUGAGAACAAACCCUGGUUAUGUUGAGGGUGGCAACGUGCUCAGCCUCGGGUAGCACAUCCAACUGUCCCAGCCUCCCUUGCAGCUAGAAGUAACCAUGUGGCACGGUUCUGGCCAAUAAUACAGACAAGUAGCUUACUGGAGGAGAGGGCGCAAGGAAAUGUUUGCCUGCCCUCUCCUUGACUUUCUCCUUUAAACAUAAGUUUUCUAACAACAGCCAUCUUGAAAAUACAAGGCAAAAAAUAGAAGGGAAAGGCCUAAAGAAUCACAAAGACACCACCCCUAACAUCUACCAGCUGCUGAACCCAUGCUGGCAGCCACGCACUGCCACACUUCUUUAUUGAGCCAAAUAAACUACCACUUGCCAAUGGCACUGCUGUAUGGAUUUUGUUACAUGUAGCCAAAGGCAGCUGAACUGACACCCAGAAGGACAGAGUGGCUGGAGUAGAGACAGUGGCAGACAGGGCUGGGUUACACAGGAGCUAAGAUCAGGUUAAGGAGUUUGUAUUUUAUCUUGGGAACCAAACAGAGGAGCCACUGAAUUAUUCAUUAGGAAAAUGCAAAACAAAACCACCAUGAGACACGACUUCACAUCUACCAAGAUGACUAUAAUAAAACAGACAAUAACAAAUGUUGGCGAAGGAGGUGAAGAAACCGGAACCCUCGUGCAUUGCUGGUGGGAAUAUCAAACGACACAGCCUCUGUGGAAAACAAUUUGACAGUUUCUUAAAAGGUUAAACAUAAACUUAUCACACAAUGCAGCAAUUCCAUUCCCAGGUAUCGAAACAAGAAAAAUGAAAACAUACGGACACAAAGACUUGUACAAGAAUGUCCGUAACAUUAGUCAUAACAGCGUCAAACUGGAAACCACUCAAAUAUCCACCAACUGAUAAAUGGAUACACAAAAUAUGAUAUAACCACACACCAGAAUACUACACAGCAAUGUAACAGAACAAACUACUGAUAUGUGCCAUGACACAGAUAAACUUCAAAAACAUGUUAAAUAAAAGAAGCCAAACAAAAUACCAGCAUCGUAUGAUAAACGUCCAAAAAAAGCCAAUCCAUGGGGACAGAAAAUAGAUCAGUGGCUGGCCAUGGCUAGAAACAGGGAUUAACUGUCAACGGGCACAGAGGAUCUUACAUUGUGGGUGAUGAACAAAUCUAAAACUGGAUUCUGGCCAUGGUUGUGCAACUUGAUAAAUUUACUACAAAUCAUUUUAUUGUACAUCUUAAAUAGGUGAGUUUUAUGAUAUGCAAAUUCUGCCUCCAAAAAAAGCCAUUAUAAAAGAGAGAGAAGGUUGGGUGCAGCAGCUCACACCUGUAAUCCCAGCACUUUGGGAGGCUGAGGCGGGCGGAUCACUUUAGGUCAGGAGUUUGAGACCAGCCUGGACAAUGUGGUGAAACCCAUCCCUACUAAAAAUACAAAAAUUAGCCGGAUGUGGUGGUGGGCACCUGUAAUCCCAGCUACUCGAGAGGCUGAGGCAGGG